GCUCUGGUGGCCUAUUGUUUAGGGCGUCCGCCUCGGAUGCGGGAGGUCGUGGUUUCGAACCCCAGAUGAAUCAUACCAGACUA